GUGUUAUCGACGGCUUGGGUAUGUGCUCGUCCACCUCAUGUAUUUCACCCCUCCACCCGACACGGAGCAGAAGGACGAAGAGGAGGAAGGGGAGAAGCAAUCAUCGAGAUGGUCGAAGAAGGACGACGUCGAGCUCCACUGUGGACAUUCAGAUCUAUGGCCGUCGGGGCUUACAGAUGUCGAGCUCCACCGUGGAGACGACUGCUAGCUUCCCGGAGUGGUGUUUUCACGAGGAGAGGCGGAUAAAGGAGAUGGUUAUGUUCUCUGUACUUCAAACACGAAAAGUUCAAGGUCUAGACGAAAAAGUAGGUCACUAUUUUCUGUUGCUUCUAAACUUGCGUGCUGGAUGUUUCAAAGUCUUGGACUCAAUGAGGCCUCAUGAAUUGCUGCAAUGUAAAGAUAACUGCAAUCAAGGAAUUAUAGGAUGCUUAUUAUCCUGACACAAGCAAGAAGAUAGUUCUAUUGUAGAGUAACAGGUAAGCAAAUAGAUGUACCUUUGUUAGUUUUCUCCAUUUUUUCUCCUGCGAACUAAGCUACAUAUAUCCUCACAUUUUUUAUGUGUAUACAACAAGGAUUGUGGAUUUCAUAUGCUGAUGUACUUUGAGCACUGGAAUGGGCGUGUGCUACCUUUAUUCAAUGAAGAACACGUGCCAAACAUUCACAAGCUACUCACUUACAAAUGGCUUACUCUUAAGGACAAUGAUGCAAGCUGGAAGUCCAAGCUCAAUUUGGACUAGGUCUGCUACAUUUUCUUUUUCUUGAUAACUAGGCAUUUUUAUAUAUUCCAUCCAAGCAAGUUCUCUGAAUAUGACAAGCAUUUCUGGUACCUGUAAAAAGCAACUCAAAGUCUACCAAUGUUAAACUGACUACAAAUAGUUCGAUAAUAUAUGAUAACCAUGCAUUUUUAUAUA